AGGGUAAUAGCUCAGUGGUAGAACACAUGCUUAGCAUGCAUGAGGUCCUGGGUUCAAUCCCCAGUACCUCCA
rnacentral:tRNA from 1 species